CACGUAGGGUGCGAGCGUUGUCCGGAAUUAUUGGGCGUAAAGAGCUCGUAGGCGGUGUGUCGCGUCGGCCGUGAAAACCUGCAGCUUAACUGUGGGCUUGCGGUCGAUACGGGCAUCACUGGAGUUCGGCAGGGGAGACUGGAAUUCCUGGUGUAGCGGUGAAAUGCGCAGAUAUCAGGAGGAACACCGGUGGCGAAGGCGGGUCUCUGGGCAACAACUGACGCUGAGGAGCGAAAGCGUGGGGAGCGAACAGG
rnacentral:rRNA from 1 species